rnacentral:rRNA from 1 species
CCUACGGGCGGCAGCAGUGAGGAAUAUUGGUCAAUGGACGAGAGUCUGAACCAGCCAAGCAGCGUGAAGGAUGACUGCCCUAUGGGUUGUAAACUCCUUUUAUAUGGGAAUAAAAUGUUCCACGUGUGGGAUUUUGUAUGUACCAUAUGAAUAAGGAUCGGCUAACUCCGUGCCAGAAGCAGCGGUAAUACGGAGGAUCCGAGCGUUAUCCGGAUUUAUUGGGUUUAAAGGGAGCGUAGGUGGAUUGUUAAGUCAGUUGGGAAAGUUUGCGGCUCAACCGUAAAAUUGCAUUUGAAACUGGCGGUCUUGAGUACAGUAGAGGUGGGCGGAAGUCGUGGUGUAGCGGUGAAAUGCUUAGAUAUCACGAAGAACUCCGAUGGCGAAGGCAGCUCACUGGACUGCAACUGACGCUGAGGCUCGAAAGUGUGGGUAUCAAACAGGAUUAGAUACCCCUGUAGUC